rnacentral:rRNA from 1 species
UACGUAGGGUGCAAGCGUUGUCCGGAAUUAUUGGGCGUAAAGAGCUCGUAGGCGGUCUGUCGCGUCGGAUGUAAAAACCCAGGGCUCAACCCUGGGCCUGCAUUCGAUACGGGCAGACUAGAGUUCGGUAGGGGAGACUGGAAUUCCUGGUGUAGCGGUGAAAUGCGCAGAGAUGUGGAGGAACACCGAUGGCGAAGGCAGCCUCCUGGGCCAACACUGACGCUCAUGCACGAAAGCGUGGGGAGCAAACAGG